UUAUAAUAUUACCAAGGUAAUUAUUAUAUUAUCAACAUCCUUCCUAUUAUAUUCUAAAUAUAUAGGAAAUUUUACUUUGAGAAAAUUAGAGUGCUUAAAGCAGGCAACUGCCUUGAAUACUCCAGCAUGGAAUAAUAAGUAAGGACUUUUGUCUUUCUUAUUGGUUCUAGGACAAAAGUAAUGGUUAAUAGGGACAGUUGGGGGCAUUCGUAUUUAACAGCCAGAGGUGAAAUUCUUAGAUUUGUUAAAGACGAACUACUGCGAAAGCAUUUGCCAAGGAUGUUUUCAUUAAU
rnacentral:rRNA from 1 species